GUGCUCGCUUCGGCAGCACAUAUACUAACGUUGGAGCGAUACAGAGAACAUUAGCAUGGCCCCUGCGCAAGGAUGAUACACAAAUUAGUGAAGCGUUACAUUAUUUU
rnacentral:snRNA from 1 species